GGUUUGAGAAAAAUCAAAACUUUGUUUUCUGAGGUGUUAAUCGAGCAGGGAUGUACCAAUUAUGCAGGGCUGCAGGCAGAUUCUAAGUGUGAACCUCAAUGAUACCAAGUCUGAAUGGAAGACAAUAUGCUUAAUUAGAUAAAUUCAUAGAAAUUGUAUUAAUAAUUUGCUUUCGUUCUAAGUUGUAAUUUGUAAAUUGGGACACUUUGUAUUCUGUCUUUUUAUUUUAGUACAUUAAAACGGGCGUGGGGAUGAGCCUCCUAGUUCGGCUAGGUUCCAAACCCCUUAAAAUUUUAAAA